rnacentral:rRNA from 1 species
UACGUAGGGGGCAAGCGUUGUCCGGAAUCAUUGGGCGUAAAGAGCGUGUAGGCGGUUCGGUAAGUCGGCUGUGAAAGUCCAGGGCUCAACCCUGGGAUGCCGGUCGAUACUGCCGGACUAGAGUUCGGAAGAGGCGAGUGGAAUUCCCGGUGUAGCGGUGAAAUGCGCAGAGAUCGGGAGGAACACCUAUGGCGAAGGCAGCUCGCUGGGACGUUACUGACGCUGAGACGCGAAAGCGUGGGGAGCGAACAGG